rnacentral:rRNA from 1 species
UACGGAGGGUGCAAGCGUUGUUCGGAAUCAUUGGGCGUAAAGCGCGUGUAGGCGGUUACUUAAGUCUGGUGUGAAAGCCCGGGGCUUAACCCCGGAAGUGCAUUGGAUACUGGGUAACUAGAGGACGGGAGAGGGAAGCGGAAUUCCUGGUGUAGGGGUGAAAUCCGUAGAUAUCAGGAGGAACAUCGGUGGCGAAGGCGGCUUCCUGGUCCGUUCCUGACGCUGAGACGCGAAAGCGUGGGGAGCAAACGGG